rnacentral:misc_RNA from 1 species
GAAUAGGCAAGUGAAUCUUCUAUCAUUUUUUACUUUAUAUGGAAGUACAGGGUACCUUCACAAGUGGCUAUCAGAGAAAAAAGGUGGAUUGUGAAUCUUAACACUUGAACCUUAUGAAGACAUUUGUCAUUGCUCAACAGAAAUAUUGAAAAAUUAACUAUAGCUAAUCUAACUUUUGGCUUUAAUGACAUUCAAAGUGCCACCGUUCAAAUCUUAUUUAUUAAAUACUUGCAUUAAGCAACUAACUGCAUAACCUUUCCCCUUUGUGCUUCACUGUAUCUCCUUAUUUUCACAUUUGUUUCUUUUUUCAUUCUUGUUUAAUGCUAUGAUGUUAUCAUAUAGUUAUAGACAUUGAUUUUCUGUUUUAACGCAUAAUGGAUUUAAAUAUUGAACAUUUA